UACGAAGGGUGCAAGCGUUACUCGGAAUUACUGGGCGUAAAGCGUGCGUAGGUGGUCUGUUAAGUCUGAUGUGAAAGCCCUGGGCUCAACCUGGGAAUUGCAUUGAGGACUGGCGUGCUCGAGUGCGGCAGAGGGGGGUGGAAUUCCACGUGUAGCAGUGAAAUGCGUAGAGAUGUGGAGGAACACCGAUGGCGAAGGCAGCCCCCUGGGCCGACACUGACGCUCAUGCACGAAAGCGUGGGGAGCAAACAGG
rnacentral:rRNA from 1 species